CUCGCUGUCGCGUCUCUGCUCCCUCGCUCUCCGUCGCUGUCGCGCUGUCGCGUCUUCUCCCUCGCCGACGGCGGCCGACGACCCUCCGACCCUCGCAACUCUCACUCUCUGUUUUCAGAAUGGAAAGAAGACAUCACGUUUUCUCUGUAGAUCUUCUUGAAAGAUAUGCCACAAAAGGCCGUGGAGCCAUUACAUGCAUGGCGACUGGCAAUGAUGUCAUCGUUCUUGGAACCAACAAAGGCUGGGUGAUCAGACAUGACUUUGGAGUGGGUGAUUCUUAUGAUAUAGAUCUCUCUGUUGGCAGGCCUGGGGAACAAUCAAUUCAUAAGGUUUUCGUUGACCCUGGAGGGAGCCACUGUAUUGCCACUGUUAUUGGCAGCAGUGGUGCCGAUACAUAUUAUACUCAUGCUAAAUGGACAAAGCCACGUAUUUUGAGCAAACUAAAAG
rnacentral:misc_RNA from 1 species